CCUUGGGUGCUCCCCAGAACAGGAAGAAGGCCAAAGCUGUACCCCGUAAGGGUUAAAGGUCACCCAUCCCACAAUCUGUGUUUCUGUCCCUUUUAUGAAGGGCCGGCUGGUCAUGCAGGUCCCCUUGACCCUGCUCCAGUGUCCCCACCACAAACCUCCAACAGUAAAAAGUACCAGGAGCCAAACACGCGAUGACUCAGUUGCUCUGAAUCAAGCAAAUGGAUUUUCCUUAAAUGUGAAAAUCAAUAAGAGCUUAGAGCCAGUCUCCAGUGGGGACAAGAGGCUGUCAGCCAGAGGACUGAAGUCGAAGUGACAAGUGGGUUUUAAUACGUCAGCCUGGAACCUGUUGUUGCCCCAUAGCUGUUCAGAUGGGGCUCGAGGUGGCCUUCGGGAGCCCCAGGAAGUGGAGUCAGUGACAUUUUCAGGCCCAGCUGGCUUCCUUGGGGGCCCUGCCAUCAGACCUCCUUCCAUGAGGCCCGGGAGGGACCGUGAAGACGGGAUGUGAAGACAGCACAUUGCUCUAUUUUCUUGGGCGUUUAAUAAACGUUAUUAACGCCUCUGAGGCAGAGUCCAGGGAGCGCCGGCCCCCCCCCCGCCCCCCGCACAGCGGAAAAACACCAGAGCCAUGGUGCAGGGCGGCUGCUUGCUGGAGCGCGUCACCUCAGUUUGCUCAUCAGUAAAAGGGGGUGUUGAUGCCCAGGGGACAACACUAACCACCAGCAAGGCUCCGGGGAAAGUUCGGUGAGAUAAUGGAGGAGAAAGGGGUUUAUACGGUUCCCCGCAACUAUGAGCAAAGUGAGGUUAUCGCGCAAGGCACUGCUCCUGUCCCUGUCCCUCCUCCCCACGCAGCCCCCGGCAGUCUGGGCAUGGGCUCCGUGCUCGAAAACCCGUGUCUGAGUGAUGGACCUCCGCGUCCACUGGUCGCCUUGUCCUUUGCAGCUCCAUUCAUUAACCAGCAGGGGGCUUCAUGCCGGGUUGGCGUUGUCCCCUAUGUGGCCCCUCAGGCUGCAGGCCUGGUCUCAGGGCCCCCAGUAAGAAGGGCCCUCUGCGUCGACUGCCCGAGCUUACGAGGACCUGGGAGAAGAGUCUGUAGGUGCUGUAAUGAGAGCUCCACGAGAGCGAGCGAGUCCCUGCCUCGUCAUGAAGAUGUGUCCCUCCCUCUCUGUCGGUCACCAGGAAGGGAGAGGAGCUGAAACCCAUCACAGUGUUUUUCCAGAGAUGGCUUUUGAAGAGAGCUGUUUCUCUAAGGGGCCAAGAGGGGAGGGGUGGGGUUGGCGGGGACAAACGUCCCCCCCCCCAUGAAGCCUGGCUUGGCUGUGGCGAUGCCGGAGGCGGUGACAGUCCACGCUCAAGCAGCACUGCCCGUGCCCACUGCUGUUCUAAGCGCUGCCUGUACGUAUGUCAACCUGUGGAAUCCUGGCAGUGCCCCUCUGAAACGGGGGUCAUUUUCACCUCCAUUUUAUAGGUGAAGGUGGGCGGGGCCAGAAGAGGGGCCAUGAGGGUCUGGGGCCCAGGCCGUGCACCCGGGGACGCAGAACAGGCUUCGGAGUCGCCGCCGCAGCCCAGUCUCACUGCAUCCUAAGCGUGUGACCAGAACGCUGGCCUCUUCCCAUUAAACAGAAGCCGCCCCAUGCCCCAUGCCUGGCUGGUGGGGGCGGGGCUUGAUGAGGAGAUGCAGGUGAAGCUCUGGACCAGGGCCCAGCACACACGAGAGCCCUUCCCUCUAAUCCGUCUGUGGUUUGAGGCACUGAAGUGGCGAGAAACCAUUUGCAUCCGUGAGGAGCCAUCUGUCCAAGCCCGUCCACCCUGUCCACCCCGUCCACCCCAGCCUGCAGACAGCCGCUGGGAGCCAGGAUUCCGAGUUCCACCCGGCAGAGGCCUGAGUUAGCCAGCCAGCCGGCCAGGACCGGAGGGGAGCUGGCUGCAGCCACCGGCUGGGCAGCAGGACCGGAGGAGGGGCCAGGGGCGGCUCCCGAGCUGCUGGCCAGUGAGGCUGGCCAGGGCCCCACGUCGGGGCUUCCAGGACAAGGGACUCUGGACGCUGCUCCCAGUGUCCCCUUGUGCCCGCCCCGCAGGUCUGAGGUGUGUGGGUGACUGCUGGCCCGCCGAGGCGGAGGAUGUGCCAAGCAGCCGUGGGACCGCCGAGCUCGCACCUGCCGCCUAGCCAGCUGCCCUCCCCCUGCUGCUGGAAGGCGGCCAUGCCCGGCUUUGCCCGAGUUCUCUCCGAAGGCAGGUGGGAAGGCGACCGGGUCACCGCGCCACGCGGGGUUCCAGGGAGCCUCGGCUGCAGACUAGGGCCCUCUUCUGCUGCUUCAGAGGCACGUCGGUCCCUCAGGGCCUCACUAGUCCUCUGGCCACCCCACCGCCUGGGGGGGCGGGGCGGGGACUGAGGAGCCAGGAGAGGGCGGAAGUCUUGAAUGGCACCCGCUGGCUCCCCUGGGAGGCGGGGUGCUGUGGGAACUAGCAGCGCAGCCCGGAGGGCUGGGGCUGGGGCGCGCGGGGCGCUGGAUGAGGCUCAGGCCAGAAACGAGAGCAGGGCCGGGUGCGUGGCUUCGGCCGCUGGCGCUGCCCUGGCGGACUCUCGUUCCCCACCCGCCGCCAGGGGCGUGGGAGGCUGCGUGGGACGCUGCGCACGCGGCUGCGCGCUUGGCCCGUCCACGGGGAGCCUGGGGACAGCGCACCCAGAAACGCCAGGUCUCUGCGAACAUCUCCGCAAAGCAAAUCCGAGCCACACGUCGCCCGACGCCUAGACCUGCGCAACACGCUGCGUGUGCCAACGCACAUCAAAGCUCGGGGCAGAGCUCCAGAUGGUGACGUGGCCUCGCCGUUGGCCGCAUCACGCGUCGCUGGCUUUCCCCGCCCCCGCCCCGUUCAGGGACCGGCCCGGCCGCCGGAGUCCGCGAUGCUCAGAGCGGCGCCAAGGCCUCAACACCGCGAAGCGGCCCUGGCGGCCGGAGACAGCGCGCAUGUGGCAGCGGCUGCAGCCAGAUGCGGGGCACUGCUGACCCCUGCUGGCGCCUUUCCCCCUGCGGCCCCGGGGAGGAGGGGGCGGGGCGCGGGGACAGGGAGCCCGCCCUGGAGGAUGCAGCGUUGGAAAAACCUUGCAACCCGUCUGGGCGGCGUGGGAAGCAACGCCCUAGCUCAGAAGCCCCCGGCGGGGAGCUCCUCCGAUGAGACGGAGAAGGAUGGGAAUAAACCCCAGACGGGGAUCCGGGCGGAGAGACACGGACUAGCCGCGCGUCCUCAGCCUCGGUGGCUGCGAAGGCUCCCGGCUGCCAGUCAAGGGGCUGGGAAGCCCCUUGAGCCUAAAACUGGGAAGCGGUGAGCAGCACCGCACCAGCCAAGCUCAACC